UACGGGGGGAGCAAGCGUUGUUCGGAUUUACUGGGCGUAAAGGGCGCGUAGGCGGCCACCGCAAGUCGACUGUGAAAUCUCCGGGCUUAACCCGGAAAGGUCAGCCGAUACUGCGGGGCUAGAGUGCAGAAGGGGCAACUGGAAUUCUCGGUGUAGCGGUGAAAUGCGUAGAUAUCGAGAGGAACACCUGCGGCGAAGGCGGGUUGCUGGGCUGACACUGACGCUGAGGCGCGAAAGCUAGGGGAGCGAACGUG
rnacentral:rRNA from 1 species